rnacentral:rRNA from 1 species
CGGUUAAAAAGCUCGUAGUUGGAUUUCUGUUGAGGUCGACCGGUGUACACUUCGUGUAUUAUUUGGUACGGUCUCGGCAUCCUCUUGGGGAACGUUUCUGGACUUAAUUGGACAGGGCGGUAUUCAAGACUUUUACUUUGAGGAAAUUAGAGUGUUCACGGCAGGCAAGUGCUUUGAAUACAUUAGCAUGGAAUAAUAAUAUAGGACCUUCGUUCUAUUUUGUUGGUUUCUAGAACUUAGGUAAUGAUAAUAGGGACAAUUGGGGGCAUUCGUAUUAACGCGUCAGAGGUGGAAUUCUUGGAUGCGUACGACGAACUACUGCGAAAGCAUUUGCCAAAGAUGUUUUCAUUGAUCAAGAACGAAAGUAUGGGGAUCGAAGACGCUUAGAUACCGUCGUAGUCUAUACCAUAAACUAUGCCAACUAGAGAUUGGAGGGGUUCUCCUAUGUGGCUCCUUCAGCAUCUUAUGAGAAAUCAAAGUCUUUGGGUUCCGGGGGGAGUAUGGUCGCAAGGCUGAAACUUAAAGGAAUUGA